rnacentral:rRNA from 1 species
UACGGGGGGGGCAAGCGUUGUUCGGAAUUACUGGGCGUAAAGGGCUCGUAGGCGGCCAACUAAGUCGGAUGUGAAAUCCCCAGGCUCAACUUGGGAACUGCAUCCGAUACUGGAUGGCUUGAAUUCGGGAGAGGGAUGCAGAAUUCCAGGUGUAGCGGUGAAAUGCGCAGAUAUCAGGAGGAACACCGGUGGCGAAGGCGCUGCUCUGGGCCGGUACUGACGCUGAGGAGCGAAAGCGUGGGUAGCAAACAGG